CUGUAGAAAGCGAAACACAAAUUACGCUGAACAAAUCAAGACAUCUAUACUCCAUGGAUGACAACAGUAACUUAGUAAUAGAAUAUGAAUCUCCAGUAAAGCUUUCCAGUAAGAAAUGCACAUUUGCCAAGAAGAGAAAAUGGCAUCAAGAACAGGAAGAAACAAGUGACUGGCAACGACGAAUGGAUGGAUUUGAUGGAUUUGUUCAAGACAUAACAGACAAGAGAAGGCGAAAGUCUUUUCAGACACUCAGUAUAUCUUCACAUGGGAAUCUGGC
rnacentral:lncRNA from 1 species